UUUUCAAAACAUUUAACAAAGUACUAAAAUAUAAUUUCAUAAACUCUCCAUCUCUUUUGAUAAACUAGAAAAUCAGAUGACAGUAUGUCUAAACCCUCUUCACCACUGUCAAGUGAAGCUAACUUACAGUCUGUCCCCUUUAGAUGCUGUCUCCUAGUUACAACCAGUCACUUCUAGGCCCAGGUUAUCUGGGGUUUUGACCCUUGACGUAGAGUAACUAGAAGCAAAUUCUGAUCAUGGUUUUUGUCACCAUCAAAAACAAGCUUUCAGAGAUUGUCUCACUGUACCAUAAGGUACUUUUAAAUGUUUUAAAAAACAUAGUACUCAACCAUUUGAUUCAAUUGCUAGGCUUGACCAAAAAGGGUAUGAAAUGUAUCCCUGAGUAAUAAUAAAAGAUAUAA
rnacentral:lncRNA from 1 species